CUUCACCGACCCCAGCCACAUCGGCCGGCCCCGGGAUCGGUCCUGCCCGUACGCCGCCAGCAGCGCCUGCGCCUC
rnacentral:antisense_RNA from 1 species